AGGUGAUCCAGCUCAGGUGAAGUGAAGUCUUCAGCUGCACUCUGUGAACUCUUGGAUCUGUGAGGAGAACCAGGACUCAGCGUCACUGCUAGCAAAGAUGAAGGAAGGUCUGCAGACCGAGCUUCUAGAAACACUUGGGAAUUUGAGCGAUAAGGAACUGAAGCUCUUUAAGUGGUAUCUACAGAAAUCUGAGGCACUGGAUGGUUCACCAGCCAUCCCAAAGAGUGAUCUUCAGACAGCUGAUAAACUGGAAAUAGUGAAUUUGAUGAUCAAUAAAUACAAACCUGAAAAUGCUUUGGGAGUCGCACAAAAGAUUUUGGACAAAGUCAAGACUCGUACAAAUAAACCUUCACACGCUGUGGAGAAACAAGAAAAACCAGUCCAUACAGUUUCAUCAGAAGACUGUCUUUUACAGUGUCAUCGGUGUCUAAAGCGUAAGCUCAGAGAGGAGUUCCAAAUUGUCUUGGAGGGAAGUGUCAGAGCUGAAAAUCCAACCCAAGUCCCACUGAAUCAGAUCUACACAGAGCUCUACAUCACAGAGGGAGGGACUGCAGAGGUCAAUAAUGAACAUGAGGUCAGACAGAUUGAAACAGCAUCAAGGAAACCAAACAGACCAGAAACAACAAUCAGACAAGAAGACAUAUUUAAAGGCACACCACAAAGAAUUAAACAAAUCAGAACAGUGCUGACAAUGGGAGUGGCUGGCAUUGGGAAAACAGUCUUAACACAGAAAUACAGCCUGGA